rnacentral:rRNA from 1 species
CCUACGGGAGGCAGCAGUAGGGAAUAUUGCUCAAUGGGGGAAACCCUGAAGCAGCAAAGCCGCGUGGAGGAUGAAGGUUUUCGGAUUGUAAACUCCUUUUGUUAGAGAAGAUAAUGACGGUAUCUAACGAAUAAGCACCGGCUAACUCCGUGACAGCAGCCGCGGUAAUACGGAGGGUGCAAGCGUUACUCGGAAUCACUGGGCGUAAAGAGCGCGUAGGCGGGAUAGCAAGUCAGAUGUGAAAUCCUAUGGCUUAACCAUAGAACUGCAUUUGAAACUGUUAUUCUAGAGUAUGGGAGAGGUAGGUGGAAUUCGUGGUGUAGGGGUAAAAUCCGUAGAGAUCAAGAGGAAUACUCAUUGCGAAGGCGACCUGCUAGAACAUAACUGACGCUGAUGCGCGAAAGCGUGGGUAGCAAACAGGAUUAGAUACCCUAGUAGUC